rnacentral:rRNA from 1 species
GCGACCACAUGUCAAGUGGGAUCACCCGCUGAGUUUAAGCAUAUCA